rnacentral:lncRNA from 1 species
CAAUAGUACACAUGACACAACAUAGAAAACUAAAGAAUAAACAACACGAACCCCACCAAAAACUAGGGGUGAUCUCAGGUGCUCCGGAAGGGUAAGCAAAUCCUGCUCCACAUGUGGCACCCGUCGUGUUGCUUAUGUGAUUACAAAUCCGGUAAAUAGUCUAAUUCGGUAGGUCACAUUUAUGAAAGGGAAGGGGAUUGUAGUUACGA